GAGAGAGAGAAGAAGAAGAAGAAGAAGUUGUUUAGCUGGUAAAGACAGAAAUGCCUGACGCCGAUGGAUGCUCUUGGAGCUGGUGGGUUGUAGAUGUUUUGUUCUCCAAAGCCACUCAAAUGCAUUCUUAUUACUUGAUGUAUAAUUUACAAAAUAAUCAGCCCAAAGUUUUUGCUCCAAUUCAAAUUCUUCCACACUCGUAUAUUUAUAACUUAAAUAAAACUCGGCGGCUCUCAUCAGUAUACAUGAAAUGCUAUCAAUCAAUCAACUUCCAUUGCCCUGAUAUUGUUUUCACGCAACAGGAGACUCGAACCUGAGCCCAUUUCUUAUGGGGUGUAGCCUGAGAUUGUGUUUGGUUCUUGAGAAAAUAUAAGGAAAGGGAAUGUGAAUGAAAUUUAUCUAAUAUUUACAUUCA